GCCCAAGUGAUUAGCAUUUUAGCUAGCAGCGUGGUAGCUAGCUAGUGACGCAGUUUAUAACUAACGUUAAGUAAAGGAAGGAGCUGUAACGCAUUGUUGCUGUUGACGUGAUAAACUAAGUUAUUACAUGUACUGUGUGUAUGCUUUGUGCGCAAAUAGUACGUUUGAGAAAUGUAGUUGCUAACAUUAGUUACUCAUUUCUGUGUCUUAGUCACUAUAGUGUAUACUGUAUCUGGGCAAAGUGAGGGAAGCUUGAUUAUUAGCGCGUAUUUUAUUUCCGAGGGUGAGGGGAUUUUGGAUUGACCCUCGGUACAACAUGAGUGCCAGAUGACCUGAGAAGUCCGAGUGGAGAGAGGCCAUUGAGUAGAAGAGACUAGGCCAAUGCAUUAUUCAGUGUUACAGGUUACAGGUGUACGUCUCUGCAGGUCUGGUUCGAUACGCUUCUACAGCCAUUUUUAUGUGGUAAAGGUUUUUGUGACUGUUGAUGUGUUUGCAGAAACUUAGGUUUGACACUGAAGAAGAAGAUAAGGGAUCAUUUUGUCUUUAAUCAACACUAAAUAUUUCUGCUCUAUAUUUUCAAGCAUUUUAAAAUCAUGCGUUUUGAUUUUGUCCAAACCUUGUUGGAGGAGGAACGCUGGUGUGCAGUUAUGAUGUGGAGGGGAAGGUGCCAGCCUUCACCCCAGGCCACUGUCCCAUGUCGCGGGAGUAUCACAUGGCUGUUGGAUCACUGAGCCGGAGGGACGGCGCACAACAUAUGCAAUCCAGAUGAUUGGUGUGAAGAGAACGCAGUUCCUGCCUCACAGCAGCUUCCCUCCUCCCAGGAAGCAGUACUACAACUGCCACAGCUUGUUUGCUGCCUCAAGCUGCAGUUCCUCUGGCGACCACUAGUUGGUGACUCCAAGAAAACUGAAGUAACUGGGAAAAUCCUAAUUUAUGCCCAUUUUCACUUUUUCUGAGAUGCUUUUUGACAGUUAUCUUCUGUUCAUCAGUCUUAAUGUCUGUGUGUACUUCAUGUUUCGACUGGCUGCAAGUUUCAGCAUUUACAUUCAAACUUAAAGCUUAAUACUGGGGUUUAUUAAAUCCAAUUAAAACAAAUUUGUAUCUGCUACUUUACUGACCAUUCACGUUAAAUCCCUACUGUGGCAAAAAUCUAUCAAAACCUUUUUGCUAGCAUUCAACAGCAACAUAUCCAAUUAGCUUUAGUCACAGAAGUGCUGUCAAACCGAAAUUGCAACUUUGUUGAUACUGACAAAAAAAAUGUAUCUUGAGUUGUAUCAUUCAGAUUUUGUUAGUUGCUGCCAACAGUUGUCUGCAUAUUUUUAUGACCACAAAAAGUGAAGGGAUAUGUUAAAAUUUAUGCAACUUCAUUGACAGCUUUGUAGAGCUUCAAACAUCCAGCCUGAACAGACCGCUAGCUGCUAACUAGCUGCUAAGUGUAGACUAGUGAAGACAAGGAUGCUACGGCAUGUCACUAUAAUCUCCUAUUAGCUAUGACAUAGCAUACAAAUCAUUUGUGUUGAUAGUAAGCAUGUUUGCUACCUGCUAACCAAAUGGCUAAAAGCUAAAAUAACCUACUAAAUUAACAUAUUCAGUAUUUAGAAAGAAAAGAUAUGUGUGAAUUUAGACCAAUUUUUACGACAUGGCUGGAGAGGUUUGAUACAGUCCAGAGCUCCAUGCAUACUUCACACCAUGUGUUGUGCAUUUUCCACCCAUUACUUUUGCAGAUUGUGCAGUUUAAGUCACAAAAACAUGUUGUCCAUGAGCUCUCAGCGAUUCUGGUCUGUUUCUAGGUCUGGGUCUGCAGGCAUGUCUCAGAUCUCAGUGCCUAGUUUUAUUGAGAAGAGCAAGAUUAUUUUACUGAUUAUUUUCUUCAGUUAACGGCUUCAUUGUUUGGUUUGUAAAAUGUACAAUGUCCUCUACAACAUUUCCAAGGUGACAUCUUCCGAUGUCUUGUCUGAAGCCCCCAAACAUUCAGUUUAUAUAAUUCACUAUCAGAAUGUCUACAUUAGUGUGACCCACUCUCUCUGCCCUUCUUUUUUCUUGCACUCCUGUUUAAGUUUAUCCUCAAUAUCAUGUAACUUUCUGAGCAGGAGAAGGAGUUUGUCUUUGUUUCUGUCUCUGCCAGUCCUUCUCAUUCCUGAGUGGCAGCAGACAAUGUCAGAAUUGACUCAUCCCUUCAUCACCUGUCAGAUUACGGGACGACUGUUUUCUAUGUGAAACAUAUCAUUUGACACCACCUAUCAACAGCAUUUCUCAUUUCUUCAACUGAGACUUAUCAGAUUAUUUUUAAGCACAUUUAUCCUCCUGAUAAAUGGCGGUGUGCUGUAAGGCCACAUGGUUCAGAUAUGUCUGUAUUUUCUUGUUCAGCUGUCCUGCAUGUGAACAUGUUUACAUGUUCAGGCACAAUCAUCACCAAAUCGCAUGUUUGCUAAUUGCUCACGCUGCACCAGUUGUGGACAAUUGCAUCUCUCCUCCCAAUCAUGAAGAGUGUGACCCCAGAGGUCAAACACUUGACCCUUGAAGUCCUGCUGAGAUUUGCUUAUGUAUAAUUAGGACUGUUUAGAGCCUUUGUAUGCCUGAGUGGACACAUGUAGAGCUCUGUGGAAUGGUCUGUUCUUCCUUCCUGCCCUGGUGAAAAUACUUCACUGGCCGCAGAGGGAAAGAUACACACUGAUCAUCUGCACAAGAACAACUGUUGUAAUUGGAACACACUAACUGGGCUUAUGGGAACUAGUUUGAAAGACAAGUGUUCAAGUGACUGAGCACCAUAUAAACUACUUUCUUGUUAUUGUGGAUACUCUUUCUGUACAUUUUUGUACAGUUUUUAUGUCAAUAGUGGCAGGAAACAUAAAAUAUGCAUUAAGCUUCUACCCAGGUUAUGGACUAUCACAACCAUAACCAUUCAGGGCGGCUGUAGCUUGGGAGGUAGAGUAGGUCAUCUCCUAACUGUAGUGUUGACGUUUCAGUCCUCAGCGUCUCCAGUCCACACGCUGAAGUGUCCCUGGGCAAGACACUGAACCCCAAGUUGUUCCCUGUGAUAUCACAGGUGUGUGAAAGCAUUUUGAGUGUGCUUCAGUGUAAUAAGUUCAGGGUUUUACAAAUACUAGGGUCUGAAGUUCAUAGUUGAAUCCCCAUUCCCUUAUAUUCUUGAUCCUCGCUGGACAGGAGAGUUCUGGUCCGCCAUGAUGAAGGACGUCAUCCCAGACCUCUUAUUUGUGCUCUGAGGGGUGAGGAGGCUGCUGGAGGACUUAUAACAAAGGAUACAUGAGUGCAUCCUUUGUAGAAGCCUGUUACAGAUUGACAUGCCCCUUUACUGGAAACCAGUUUGUGAUUGGAUGCUUCACAUUAAGGAUUGUUACAUGGGCGGGACUAAGACUCAAGGAAAAGACGCAAGUGAGGGAAAUACGCAUGCAAUUAGGUGAAUUGAGAUCCAGCUCAUGUCUCCGUAAUGCAGCCACUAUCUUUAAGACUUUUUAUUCAAUUAACUGAUCGUUUAUUAGUUCCCCAAAAUUCCAGAAAAGAAAUUAUGAUGGAGAGAUACUAAUUUCUUUAUCAGGCUGGGUAUUGAUCCUCAUGUUUUCAUAAUUUAUCAAAAGCUGAAAUCAAAUGUUUGUGCAGGUUUGUUUGCUGCUGCUUUAAUCAUCAUACACUGACAAUCUAUUUAGACUAUAUACUGUAUACAGAUGGGUGACAAAUGAAAGGAAGCCCCUGAGUAUGUGAGUGGUCUCCUCCAGGGUCCACAGGACACGAGGCGUUGCUGACUGGUCUAAUGAGGAUGAUGAUGAUGUGAAUCAGAUGCUGUGGCCUUCACAGCCACCAGGUCUCAGCCCAUUUGA